rnacentral:rRNA from 1 species
AUGACGCAAAAUAGGGCUAAGUGGACAGCAAGGUAUGAGAAAGGUCUCGUGGAGGUACUUACAGAGUACAAUCUAUCUCAUUACCGUGGUCAAAAUGGGUGGACUACCGAAGGAUGGAAUCAAGUUGUCAAGGAACUGAACAAUUUAUAUCCAGAGGCAAGGUUUACCAAGGAUCAGGUUCAAGAUAAGGAAGCUCAGUUGAAAAAGCACUACAAAAAUAUCAAGUUGAUAGUCAACCGCUCUGGAAUAUCAUGGAAUGAUAUUGCAUGUGUGAUCAACACCACGCCUGAAAAAUGGGAAGAGAUCAUUGCAGAGGACCCAAAGCUCAAAAUGUAUGAAGGAAAGAGCUUUCCAUUGUACGAGGCAUUGGGUGUGCUCUAUGAAGGACACAUUGCGCAAGGAAGACACUGCCUCACAUCAAGGAAGCCUCCGAUUGGCACAAAAACAGGUAGCAACUUUGGAGCGAAGGAUAAGAUGGUUGCAAGCACUAGCAAGAAAAAUACAAGACAUGGAAGAGAUGACAACGUAAGGACUUCUUCAAUAAUUGACAUCAAUGAUACUCCUACAUUAGAUGAUGUGGAUGAAAGAGAGAACACUGUCAAUGACGAGGAAGAAUUAGGCAGUGAAGAUGCUGAUGGCGAUCAACCACAAAUAAGUGAAUCAAGUGCAAAAGGGAAAAAAACUAAGAAACAAAAAGGUGCCACAUCUGUACAGCGGCUUGAAGAUUCCAUGAUGGCUUAUGUGAAUUUCAAGAAAGAUCAAGCUUCCAAGAAGGAAAAAGUGUCACAGCAAGGAAAACAACCCUCAAUUACAGAAUGCUUGCAGGUCUUGAAUGACAUGGAUGAUGUUCCCGACGAGGUCAAAAUCUUUGCCUCUGAUGUUUUCAAGGAUGCAGCAAAUCGUGAGAUUUUCCUGGGUUACAACUCAAGAUUGCGGGGUAUGUGGCUAAAGAAGGAAGUCGACAAGAUUAGUCCUCAGCCUCCUCCUUCUCGGUUUUCAUCUGGCGAUAUUCCUUCAAUCAAUCUGGUGCUCUGA